AUUAUCUCAAAAAAAAAAAAAAAAAAAAUUUGGAAUAUGGACCUUAAUACAUAAAAGUUGUCCAAUAUUCCAUACACUCACAAGUCACACCUUUUCUUUGAUUCUCCAAGUCAAUUUUUUUUUUUUUUUCCUUUUAAUUAUUCCAUAAAACCCACUCAUUUCUUGUGUUUUGCAGUUGUUCUCACCCGCCCAAGCAAAUUCCAGGUUUUGCUAGCUGUAGGGUGCUCUGUCACUUUGCCUUUAUUAUAUGAAUGGGGAGCGGCUACUUGGGUCUUCAUCGUUUAUCAAUUCUAACCCAUCAACAAGUAGUUUUACCUAGUUGCCAUAAAGUACUUUUAAAGUUCCAUACUUUAGCUGCAGUUGGGAAUGUUGCUACCGUUGCACCCUUCACAGCCUCCUUCAAGAGGUAUGAUGGCUGUUGCUUAUGCUCGAGAGCUUGCCGCAGCAUGUCAAACCUGAUAAUAAGAUGUUGCUCCACCAAUGCAUUUGUCAUUGCUAACGAUGAGAAGUAUGGGAAUAAACAGAUUAUUAGUAUUAAUCCACACCUUUAUGAUUACAUCCUUGCCAAUGUCAGAGAGCCAGAGAUUCUUCGACAACUCCGUGAGGAGACUGCUUCCUUGCACGGUAGUCAGAUGCAGGUGAUGGUUUUGGCAUUGCUUAGGGCAUACCACGAAUUGGUCGUUGAUACUUUGCAACUGCUUUCUAUACUUUCCAAUGUGUCUCCCGAUCAGGCACAACUGCUUGCAAUGCUUGUGCAGAUCCUUGGUGCAGAGAGGUGUAUUGAAGUUGGUGUUUACACAGGUUAUUCGUCAUUGGCUGUUGCAAUGGUCCUACCUGAUUCAGGUCUCUUAGUCGCCUGUGAAAGAGAUGCCAAAUGUCUUGAUGUUGCAAGGAAGUAUUAUGAUCUAGCCAAUGUUUCCCACAAGGUGAAUAUUAAACAUGGCCUUGCAGCAGAUGCUCUAAAAUCAAUGAUUUUAAAUGGUGAAGCAGGCAGCUAUGAUUUUGCAUUCGUUGAUGCUGAAAAAAGGAUGUAUCAGGAAUAUUAUGAAUUGUUACUACAACUGAUUUCAUCAUUUUUCAGGUGAAGGUUGGAGGUCUCAUUGUGAUAGACAAUGUUCUUUGGCAUGGAAAAGUUGCUGAUCCAAUGGUGAAUAACUACAAAUUGUAGAAUUCUCUCCUUUCAAAAUGAAGCAUCAUUUCUUAGAUGGUAUUUUCUGAGCAGGUGAAUGAUGCAAAGACUGUUAGCAUAAGGAAUUUCAACAAGAACAUAAUGGAGGACCAGCGAGUAAGCAUUAGUAUGGUACCUAUUGGAGAUGGCAUGACAAUAUGCCGAAAGAAAUGAACUUGUAACCGAAGUUUAUAAACUCACUAAAGCAACGGGGUCUCAUAAAAUUAUUCAAACUGAUAUUAUCCAUGGCUGGAAAUCUUAGAUGUUAGGUAAUUUAGUUGUUAUCAGUAAGCUGGACAGAAUUGUAGAACCUGAAAAUAGGCUAGGGUAGCAGCAAUGGCUUUAUACUUUAAGAAUGGUUUUUCAUACUUGUAACAUUUUUAUUUUUUGGACAUAUGUUAAAGUGGGGGAGAAGUUUAUUUAUUUAUUUUUUUUUUUUUA